rnacentral:rRNA from 1 species
UACGAAGGAUGCAAGCGUUAAUCGGAAUUACUGGGCGUAAAGCGCGCGUAGGUGGUUCAGUAAGUUGGAAGUGAAAUCCCCGGGCUCAACCUGGGAACUGCUUUCAAAACUGCUGAGCUAGAGUACGGUAGAGGGUGGUGGAAUUUCCUGUGUAGCGGUGAAAUGCGUAGAUAUAGGAAGGAACACCAGUGGCGAAGGCGACCACCUGGACUGAUACUGACACUGAGGUGCGAAAGCGUGGGGAGCAAACAGG